rnacentral:lncRNA from 1 species
UGUCACUGGUUUGGUCCAAAAAUGAGGCCAAAAUAGAAGAUAGUAACAAUAAUGUCACUUCUGUCUAUAAAAUAGACGCUAGGGAGGUCUGAUUAACAGUCAUAACUAGCAAGGGGUUUUCCAGGGCUUCAGGACUUUCCUGAAGAGCAGGGUCCUCUCCUGUCCUUCUUCCCAGGGUGACAACAUGGAGCAUUCUCUUCUCAGAGGACCAGCUAAGGAAGCAUGCCCUGAUGUUGGGACCCCAGGAAGAGGAGCCAGCAUAACCAGCAGCUGGCACAUGUACAGAAUGCCAAAAAUGAAAUUCCCUGACUGGAAAAAGCUGGAAGACCUUGGAGAGCUACUUUGGAGCAUAACUGUCAUUCUAAUUUCUAAUCAUGUGAUGGGCAGCAGCCCUCUUUGAUUGGCUACAGCUGUAGAACCAGCACUGGGGACAUCUUCAAAAGUCCUGAGUAGGUCUCAGUCCCUUUUUUGGUUUGACUUCUCUUUCGUUAACUUCAUCUGGCAAGAAACAAUACUCUAAGGGGAGAGGCCUCUCCCAUUUCCCCCUUCCAAGCCUGACAUAUUCAUCCAUGAAUCUGAGAAUCUUGGAGGAGAGUUCAUGUCAGGCUUUGUGGCCUACCCAGCACUGAUGCCCCAAGGAGUGAAAAGCAAACUUAGGGACCCAGAAUAGUGGUGUCAUAAGGCAGUAUUUGGAUGUGAACUUGAUGAGAACAGUAUUGUAUAGAAACUGUCUUAAAUCUGAGCCCACUCUUUUGAGAGUUGAGGUGGUAUUAGGGAGAAUGUUCUCCUGAGGUAUUGGAAGUGGGGUGAUAUUUGUACUUUUGUUCUUACCGUAUCUUUGAAGUCAAUAUCACUUUGAAAAAGCUAAUUGAUGUUAAUUGGUUAAAUAGAACUGGGGCAUUAAUAACCAGUGGCUAACAGAGGAGGGAACUUAGCUCACGAAGACUCCAGCUGAUAGCAUUAGAUAAGACACCCAAAUCACUCAAGGGUAUGUCUAGAACCCUACGGGGGAGAUGUAGCCAAGCUAACUCUUGGAUAUUAAGCCUAGAGAAAACUUGCUACCCCAGUAUCAAAUAAUUUGAAUGAUUGCUGCUUUUACUAUGGUUUGAGAUCUAGUUCAGUAGACAGCAUGCUGGAGUGGAGAAGGAAGUGGACCUGGAGUCAGGAAUUCCAGGGUUCGAAUAGUGCCUUAAACAUUUACUAGACAAUUCAUUUAAUCAAUCUCUGCACCAGUUUCCUAAUCUCCAAAAUGAGUUUAUCUGUAAUGGAGAAACUCAACACAGCCUUUUCCAACAAGAUCAGGUGUAAAUCAAGAGUGCCCAUUGUCACUACUAUUAUUAGAUUCAGUUCUAGAAAUGUUAGCAAUAGCAGUAAAAUAAGUAAAAAAACCCCAACAACUUGGGGGAAUAAGCAUAGGUAAGAAGAAAGCAAAAUUAUUGCUUUUUGCAGAUGAUAUGAUAAUUUAUGUAGAGAACCCUAAAGAUUCAACUAAAAUUAACUAAUUAAUGCUUUAUAUAGCUAUCUAAAAUUGAAACAACAACUUCAGUAGAGUAGCAGGACAUAAAAUGAACUAGCAACAAAUUAUUAGUCUUUCUGUAUAUUACCAACAAAACCUAGCAAGAAGAGAUAGUCAAACCAACAAUAAGCAUUUAUUAAGCACUUACUAUGUGCCAGGUAUAAUGCUUAGUGUUGAGGAUACAAACACACAAAAAAAGGAAAAAAAGGUCCCUGCCCUCAAAGAGUUUAUAUUCUAAUAAAGAAAGACAACACAUAAAUUGAAGGUGAAAA